AAAGGCAUAGUAUAAUUCAAUACAUUUCAUUUACACUGAAAAUAUACUUAUAUAUAAGUUGCUUUUA
rnacentral:tRNA from 1 species